rnacentral:rRNA from 1 species
AACGAACGCUGGCGGCAGGCUUAACACAUGCAAGUCGAGGGGAAACGAUAUUGGAAGCUUGCUUCCGAUAGGCGUCGACCGGCGCACGGGUGAGUAACGCGUAUCCAACCUGCCCAUCACUUGGGGAUAACCUUGCGAAAGUAAGACUAAUACCCAAUGACGUCUCUAGAAGACAUCUGAAAGAGAUUAAAGAUUUAUCGGUGAUGGAUGGGGAUGCGUCUGAUUAGCUUGUUGGCGGGGUAACAGCCCACCAAGGCGACGAUCAGUAGGGGUUAUCAGAGGAAAGUCCCCCACAUUGGAACUGAGACACGGUCCAAACUCCUACGGGAGGCAGCAGUGAGGAAUAUUGGUCAAUGGACGAGAGUCUGAACCAGCCAAGUAGCGUGCAGGAAGACGGCCCUAUGGGUUGUAAACUGCUUUUAUAAGGGAAUAAAGUGAGUCUCGUGAGACUUUUUGCAUGUACCUUAUGAAUAAGGACCGGCUAAUUCCGUGCCAGCCGCCGCGGUAAAAC